rnacentral:sRNA from 1 species
CUAUGUUACAACCUCAUCUAGCGGGGCUCAUUCUAGUACAAUUAAAUAAUGGUUGUGUAAACACUGGGGUCUGUCUGGGGAUAGGGUGCAGGGAGGGAGAGUAUUAGAAAGGAUGGCUAAUGCAUGCUGGGCUUAAUACCUAGGUGAUGGGUUGACAGGUGCAGUAAACCACUAUGGCACACAUUUACCUAUGUAACCUGCACAUCCUGCACAUGUACCCCAUACCUAAAAAGAAUAAUUUAAAAAAAAGACUUGAGAGAAAAAAAUAAUAAUAAUGGUUGUGAAAACACUUUGAAAGUAUAAUCAUACCAAACAAAUGUGAGAUUGCACCAUUUUACUAUUAUUUUCUUAAGCGACUUUCCUUUAACUGUAUACUUUCCUAUUUUCUCUUCCCAUAUGUGUUAUUUAACUCGUCAAUAGUAUCUUGAGUUUAUUUUGAAGUUACUAUAUUAUAUCCUCCAUUAAUUUUGGUAUGAAAAAUAACAACUAUGCAAGAAUGGUCUGAUUAGUAAUUUCUCAUUUCAGUAUGACAAAGAGAUUAUUGUCAUCAACACAGCAGUGGCCUGUUCCAAUAAUUCAAGAAAUGGAAUAUUUGAUUUGCCAAUAAGUCCUGGAGAAGAAUUGGAAGUUAUUGAUACCACCGAACAAAAUCUAGUGAUAUGUCGUAAUUCUAAAGGCAAAUAUGGAUAUGUGCUCAUUGAACAUCUAGAUUUCAAGCAUCAAAGUUGGUCACCUUAGAAAGAUCAAGAUCAAAUGCUA